UACGUAGGGUGCGAGCGUUGUCCGGAAUUAUUGGGCGUAAAGGGCUCGUAGGCGGUCUGUUACGUCGGGAGUGAAAACUCAGGGCUCAACCCUGAGCCUGCUUCCGAUACGGGCAGACUAGAGGUAUGCAGGGGAGAUUGGAAUUCCUGGUGUAGCGGUGGAAUGCGCAGAUAUCAGGAGGAACACCGAUGGCGAAGGCAGAUCUCUGGGCCGUAACUGACGCUGAGGAGCGAAAGCAUGGGGAGCGAACAGG
rnacentral:rRNA from 1 species